rnacentral:sRNA from 1 species
GCCAGCCUGUAGUCCAGCCUCCUAAAGAGGCUGAGACAAAGAGGUUGCAAGAUGCCAGGAGUUCUAGGCUGCAGUGUGCUAUUCCAAUCUGGUGUCCACACUAAUUCAGCAUCAAUAUGGUGACCUUUCAGGACAGAGGACCAGCAAGUCGCCUAGAGGGGUGAAUUGGCCCAGGUGAAAACAGAGCAGGUCAAAACCCAUGCUUGAAGUGGGAUCACUCCAUGAAUGGCACUGCCUCCAGCCUGGACAGUUAGCAAAGACCUCACCUCU